GGCCCAAGUCUCCAAACCCGGAUCCCACCAUGAACUAACGGAUCCAGCCAAAGACUCGAAGAACUAUUUCGUCUCCCUCAACAUGAAACGCGACAUGAUGAAAUGGCCGCAAAUCACCACUUGCCAGAGCUCGAUUUCUUCGUCUUCAAAACAUGCGCUCAAGAACUUCAUUCAAACUCACACGAAGAAACGAGACUGAAGGACCAAAUCACGCGCGAAGUAGAAGCAGUUGAAGAAUGAAUAACAUACCGGAUUUGACGUAAACUCCAGCUCAUGUAGGGUCAAUGCAGCUUGGUGGACUUGGUCAUGGCUUUAUAGCUUUUGACUUUGGUGGUGCAUUCUGCAGAUGGCAUAUCCAUUUCAAUUCUGACUUUGUUUAUUUCAUGCCUUGCCUUGGUCCAUGGUUGGGUAGACUUGGUUCUAGCAGCUUGUAGCAUGGUUAUGGAGUGCAUGUCUUGAUCAUGGAUUUACUUUUAGUUCAUGGCCAUGGUUCUCAUUUGUGCAUUUCAUUUAUUCUAACUCCAUUCAUCAUGCCACAAUUUAUAGAGUUCAUGUUCUGAUUUGGCUCAUGUUUUGCCUCUUGCUUAUGUAGGUAAUUUGAACAAUGCAACAUGACACAAAGAUUGGAUCAUGUACAAAAGACAAGAAUCCAAAGGUCAAGGAUAAAAUAAUAAAGAUUAGGCAUGGAAUUAGGAUUAGGGUUAUAGAAAUUGGGAUCUUAGGAAAUUUGGGUUGAUUUUGGUCAAAGUUGACCAAAAGGUCAAUUGUUGACCAAAGUCAACAUUUGGUCAACAUUUCCACCUUUUUGUAAUUCCUCAUGUAACAAACACUUUUAUACUUUGUAAUGGAAAUUGAUAUUUAUGAAUGAAGUAAGAUUGGAUAUUGAAUUGAA